AGAAUCAACGCUGGCGGCGUGCCUAACACAUGCAAGUCGAACGAGGAAGUGGGAGCAAUCCCACGAGUAAAGUGGCGCACGGGUGAGUAACACGUGACUAACCUACCCUUGAGUGGGGGAUAACCUAGGGAAACCUGGGCUAAUACCGCAUAAUACCUACGGGUCAAAGGAGCAAUUCGCUUAAGGAGGGGGUCGCGGCAGAUUAGUUAGUUGGCGGGGUAAUGGCCCACCAAGACAGUGAUCUGUA
rnacentral:rRNA from 1 species